rnacentral:rRNA from 1 species
GACGAACGCUGGCGGCGUGCUUAACACAUGCAAGUCGAACGGACAGACAGAGAGCUUGCUCUCUUGAAGUUAGUGGCGAACGGGUGAGUAACGCGUAAUCAACCUGCCCUUCAGAGGGGGAUAACAACGGGAAACCGUUGCUAAUACCGCGUACGAUUCAUGAACGGCAUCGUUUAUGAAUGAAAGGUGGCCUCUAUGUAUAAGCUAUCGCUGAAGGAGGGGAUUGCGUCUGAUUAGCUAGUUGGAGGGGUAACGGCCCACCAAGGCAAGGAUGAGUGACCGGUCUGAAGGGAUGAACGGCCACAUUGGGAAUGAGACACGGCCCAAAAUCCUACGGGAGGCAGCAGUGGGGAAUCUUCCGCAAUGGAGGAAAGUCUGACGGAGCAACGCCGCGGGAGUGAUGAAGGUCUUCGGAUUGUAAAGCUCUGUUAAUCGGGACGAAAGAGUUCUGCGUGAAUAAUGCAGAAAAGUGACGGUACCGGAAUAGAAAGCCACGGCUAACUACGUGCCAGCCGCCGCCGUAA